rnacentral:rRNA from 1 species
AUUCCCCCAGUAGCGGCGAGCGAACGGGGAGCAGCCCAGAGCCUGAAUCAGUGUGUGUGUUAGUGGAAGCGUCUGGAAAGGCGCGCGAUACAGGGUGACAGCCCCGUACACAAAAAUGCACAUACUGUGAGCUCGAUGAGUAGGGCGGGACACGUGGUAUCCUGUCUGAAUAUGGGGGGACCAUCCUCCAAGGCUAAAUACUCCUGACUGACCGAUAGUGAACCAGUACCGUGAGGGAAAGGCGAAAAGAACCCCGGCGAGGGGAGUGAAAAAGAACCUGAAACCGUGUACGUACAAGCAGUGGGAGCCUCUUUAUGGGGUGACUGCGUACCUUUUGUAUAAUGGGUCAGCGACUUAUAUUCUGUAGCAAGGUUAACCGAAUAGGGGAGCCGAAGGGAAACCGAGUCUUAACUGGGCGUUAAGUUGCAGGGUAUAGACCCGAAACCCGGUGAUCUAGCCAUGGGCAGGUUGAAGGUUGGGUAACACUAACUGGAGGACCGAACCGACUAAUGUUGAAAAAUUAGCGGAUGACUUGUGGCUGGGGGUGAAAGGCCAAUCAAACCGGGAGAUAGCUGGUUCUCCCCGAAAGCUAUUUAGGUAGCGCCUCGUGAAUUCAUCUCCGGGGGUAGAGCACUGUUUCGGCAAGGGGGUCAUCCCGACUUACCAACCCGAUGCAAACUGCGAAUACCGGAGAAUGUUAUCACGGGAGACACACGGCGGGUGCUAACGUCCGUCGUGAAGAGGGAAACAACCCAGACCGCCAGCUAAGGUCCCAAAGUCAUGGUUAAGUGGGAAACGAUGUGGGAAGGCCCAGACAGCCAGGAUGUUGGCUUAGAAGCAGCCAUCAUUUAAAGAAAGCGUAAUAGCUCACUGGUCGAGUCGGCCUGCGCGGAAGAUGUAACGGGGCUAAACCAUGCACCGAAGCUGCGGCAGCGACACUAUGUGUUGUUGGGUAGGGGAGCGUUCUGUAAGCCUGUGAAGGUGUGCUGUGAGGUAUGCUGGAGGUAUCAGAAGUGCGAAUGCUGACAUAAGUAACGAUAAAGCGGGUGAAAAGCCCGCUCGCCGGAAGACCAAGGGUUCCUGUCCAACGUUAAUCGGGGCAGGGUGAGUCGACCCCUAAGGCGAGGCCGAAAGGCGUAGUCGAUGGGAAACAGGUUAAUAUUCCUGUACUUGGUGUUACUGCGAAGGGGGGACGGAGAAGGCUAUGUUGGCCGGGCGACGGUUGUCCCGGUUUAAGCGUGUAGGCUGGUUUUCCAGGCAAAUCCGGAAAAUCAAGGCUGAGGCGUGAUGACGAGGCACUACGGUGCUGAAGCAACAAAUGCCCUGCUUCCAGGAAAAGCCUCUAAGCAUCAGGUAACAUCAAAUCGUACCCCAAACCGACACAGGUGGUCAGGUAGAGAAUACCAAGGCGCUUGAGAGAACUCGGGUGAAGGAACUAGGCAAAAUGGUGCCGUAACUUCGGGAGAAGGCACGCUGAUAUGUAGGUGAAGUCCCUUGCGGAUGGAGCUGAAAUCAGUCGAAGAUACCAGCUGGCUGCAACUGUUUAUUAAAAACACAGCACUGUGCAAACACGAAAGUGGACGUAUACGGUGUGACGCCUGCCCGGUGCCGGAAGGUUAAUUGAUGGGGUUAGCGGUAACGCGAAGCUCUUGAUCGAAGCCCCGGUAAACGGCGGCCGUAACUAUAACGGUCCUAAGGUAGCGAAAUUCCUUGUCGGGUAAGUUCCGACCUGCACGAAUGGCGUAAUGAUGGCCAGGCUGUCUCCACCCGAGACUCAGUGAAAUUGAACUCGCUGUGAAGAUGCAGUGUACCCGCGGCAAGACGGAAAGACCCCGUGAACCUUUACUAUAGCUUGACACUGAACAUUGAGCCUUGAUGUGUAGGAUAGGUGGGAGGCUUUGAAGUGUGGACGCCAGUCUGCAUGGAGCCGACCUUGAAAUACCACCCUUUAAUGUUUGAUGUUCUAACGUUGGCCCCUGAUCGGGGUUGCGGACAGUGUCUGGUGGGUAGUUUGACUGGGGCGGUCUCCUCCUAAAGAGUAACGGAGGAGCACGAAGGUUGGCUAAUCCUGGUCGGACAUCAGGAGGUUAGUGCAAUGGCAUAAGCCAGCUUGACUGCGAGCGUGACGGCGCGAGCAGGUGCGAAAGCAGGUCAUAGUGAUCCGGUGGUUCUGAAUGGAAGGGCCAUCGCUCAACGGAUAAAAGGUACUCCGGGGAUAACAGGCUGAUACCGCCCAAGAGUUCAUAUCGACGGCGGUGUUUGGCACCUCGAUGUCGGCUCAUCACAUCCUGGGGCUGAAGUAGGUCCCAAGGGUAUGGCUGUUCGCCAUUUAAAGUGGUACGCGAGCUGGGUUUAGAACGUCGUGAGACAGUUCGGUCCCUAUCUGCCGUGGGCGCUGGAGAACUGAGGGGGGCUGCUCCUAGUACGAGAGGACCGGAGUGGACGCAUCACUGGUGUUCGGGUUGUCAUGCCAAUGGCACUGCCCGGUAGCUAAAUGCGGAAGAGAUAAGUGCUGAAAGCAUCUAAGCACGAAACUUGCCCCGAGAUGAGUUCUCCCUGACCCUUUAAGGGUCCUGAAGGAACGUUGAAGACGACGACGUUGAUAGGCCGGGUGUGUAAGCGCAGCGAUGCGUUGAGCUAACCGGUACUAAUGAACCGUGAGGCUUAACCUUACAAC